ACGUGUUUUUUUUGUUUUGUUUUCUGGUUUUCCGCUAGUUUUUGAGCUAAAAUGAUGACUGACGCUGCUAAAGUUAGAAUUGAAUCGUCCAAUUACAGGAAGUACACAUGCCAUUUGUUUUAUCCACUUGUUGAGGUUUUGUAUCACCGACUAGAAAAGUCUUACAAGUUUUUCCCCCAAAGCCUGAAAUUGUCGGAAGAGGGCGCCAGAAGCACACUAAUAAUUCUGAAGAAUCAAUGACUCGUUGUGCCUCAGGCUGGUCUCUUUGGUCCGAUGGCUCCCAGCAG